rnacentral:rRNA from 1 species
UACGUAGGGGGCAAGCGUUAUCCGGAUUCACUGGGCGUAAAGGGAGCGCAGGCGGCAUGGUAAGUCUGAUGUGAAAACCCGGGGCCCAACCCCAGGAGUGCAUUGGAAACUGCCAGGCUGGAGUGUCGGAGGGGUAAGCGGAAUUCCUAGUGUAGCGGUGAAAUGCGUAGAUAUUAGGAGGAACACCAGUGGCGAAGGCGGCUUACUGGACGACUACUGACGCUGAGGCUCGAAAGCGUGGGGAGCAAACAGG